rnacentral:rRNA from 1 species
UUUAGAGUGUAAAUUGCUAAUAGCUGCCGGGGAACUACGAGAGUUAUAGUCUUAAAAUCCAAAAAGUCUGGCGGUGUCUUAGACUCAUCAGGGGAACUUGUCUCCGAAUCGAUGAUCCACGUAGAACCUUACCCUGCUUUGUAAUACUGCCUGCAUACCGUCGUCGCCAGUCUUUGUUAGUGUAAGAUGAAAGAAGAGGGCGUAAGAAACUAUUGUUGCUUAUGUCAGAUCAAGGUACAGCGAAUAGCGGGGAGGGGGUGAGUUACAAUUAGAAUUUAUAAUACGGAGGGUUUAGGGAAGAAUGCUAAAUCUGAAGGAGGACUUGAAAGUAAAGAUAAUUUAUAGAGAUUUCUUGAACAAAGUUAGGACGUGUACAAAUCGCCCGUCGCUUUCAUUGAAAAGUGAAAUAAGUCGUAACAUAGUAGGGGUAACGGAAGUUGCUUCUAGAUAA